rnacentral:rRNA from 2 species
GGGUUGUGAGGUUAAGCGACUAAGCGUACACGGUGGAUGCCCUGGCAGUCAGAGGCGAUGAAGGGCGUGCUAAUCUGCGAUAAGCGCCGGUAAGGUGAUAUGAACCGUUAUAACCGGCGAUACCCGAAUGGGGAAACCCAGUGUGAUUCGUCACACUAUCAUUAACUGAAUCCAUAGGUUAAUGAGGCGAACCGGGGGAACUGAAACAUCUAAGUACCCCGAGGAAAAGAAAUCAACCGAGAUUCCCCCAGUAGCGGCGAGCGAACGGGGAGGAGCCCAGAGCCUGAAUCAGCAUGUGUGUUAGUGGAAGCGUCUGGAAAGGCGCGCGAUACAGGGUGACAGCCCCGUACACAAAAAUGCACAUGCUGUGAGCUCGAUGAGUAGGGCGGGACACGUGGUAUCCUGUCUGAAUAUGGGGGGACCAUCCUCCAAGGCUAAAUACUCCUGACUGACCGAUAGUGAACCAGUACCGUGAGGGAAAGGCGAAAAGAACCCCGGCGAGGGGAGUGAAAAAGAACCUGAAACCGUGUACGUACAAGCAGUGGGAGCACCCUUUGGGGUGUGACUGCGUACCUUUUGUAUAAUGGGUCAGCGACUUAUAUUCUGUAGCAAGGUUAACCGAAUAGGGGAGCCGUAGGGAAACCGAGUCUUAACCGGGCGUUAAGUUGCAGGGUAUAGACCCGAAACCCGGUGAUCUAGCCAUGGGCAGGUUGAAGGUUGGGUAACACUAACUGGAGGACCGAACCGACUAAUGUUGAAAAAUUAGCGGAUGACCUGUGGCUGGGGGUGAAAGGCCAAUCAAACCGGGAGAUAGCUGGUUCUCCCCGAAAGCUAUUUAGGUAGCGCCUCGUGAACUCAUCUCCGGGGGUAGAGCACUGUUUCGGCUAGGGGGCCAUCCCGGCUUACCAACCCGAUGCAAACUGCGAAUACCGGAGAAUGUUAUCACGGGAGACACACGGCGGGUGCUAACGUCCGUCGUGAAGAGGGAAACAACCCAGACCGCCAGCUAAGGUCCCAAAGUCAUGGUUAAGUGGGAAACGAUGUGGGAAGGCCCAGACAGCCAGGAUGUUGGCUUAGAAGCAGCCAUCAUUUAAAGAAAGCGUAAUAGCUCACUGGUCGAGUCGGCCUGCGCGGAAGAUGUAACGGGGCUAAACCAUGCACCGAAGCUGCGGCAGCGACACUGUGUGUUGUUGGGUAGGGGAGCGUUCUGUAAGCCUGUGAAGGUGGCCUGUGAGGGUUGCUGGAGGUAUCAGAAGUGCGAAUGCUGACAUAAGUAACGAUAAAGCGGGUGAAAAGCCCGCUCGCCGGAAGACCAAGGGUUCCUGUCCAACGUUAAUCGGGGCAGGGUGAGUCGACCCCUAAGGCGAGGCCGAAAGGCGUAGUCGAUGGGAAACGGGUUAAUAUUCCCGUACUUGGUGUUACUGCGAAGGGGGGACGGAGAAGGCUAUGUUGGCCGGGCGACGGUUGUCCCGGUUUAAGCGUGUAGGUGUGUGUUCCAGGUAAAUCCGGUUCACUUUAACACUGAGGCGUGAUGACGAGGCACUACGGUGCUGAAGCAACAAAUGCCCUGCUUCCAGGAAAAGCCUCUAAGCAUCAGGUAACAUCAAAUCGUACCCCAAACCGACACAGGUGGUCAGGUAGAGAAUACCAAGGCGCUUGAGAGAACUCGGGUGAAGGAACUAGGCAAAAUGGUGCCGUAACUUCGGGAGAAGGCACGCUGACACGUAGGUGAAGUGAUUUACUCAUGGAGCUGAAGUCAGUCGAAGAUACCAGCUGGCUGCAACUGUUUAUUAAAAACACAGCACUGUGCAAACACGAAAGUGGACGUAUACGGUGUGACGCCUGCCCGGUGCCGGAAGGUUAAUUGAUGGGGUCAGCGCAAGCGAAGCUCCUGAUCGAAGCCCCGGUAAACGGCGGCCGUAACUAUAACGGUCCUAAGGUAGCGAAAUUCCUUGUCGGGUAAGUUCCGACCUGCACGAAUGGCGUAAUGAUGGCCAGGCUGUCUCCACCCGAGACUCAGUGAAAUUGAACUCGCUGUGAAGAUGCAGUGUACCCGCGGCAAGACGGAAAGACCCCGUGAACCUUUACUAUAGCUUGACACUGAACAUUGAGCCUUGAUGUGUAGGAUAGGUGGGAGGCUUUGAAGUGUGGACGCCAGUCUGCAUGGAGCCGACCUUGAAAUACCACCCUUUAAUGUUUGAUGUUCUAACGUGGACCCGUAAUCCGGGUUGCGGACAGUGUCUGGUGGGUAGUUUGACUGGGGCGGUCUCCUCCUAAAGAGUAACGGAGGAGCACGAAGGUUGGCUAAUCCUGGUCGGACAUCAGGAGGUUAGUGCAAUGGCAUAAGCCAGCUUGACUGCGAGCGUGACGGCGCGAGCAGGUGCGAAAGCAGGUCAUAGUGAUCCGGUGGUUCUGAAUGGAAGGGCCAUCGCUCAACGGAUAAAAGGUACUCCGGGGAUAACAGGCUGAUACCGCCCAAGAGUUCAUAUCGACGGCGGUGUUUGGCACCUCGAUGUCGGCUCAUCACAUCCUGGGGCUGAAGUAGGUCCCAAGGGUAUGGCUGUUCGCCAUUUAAAGUGGUACGCGAGCUGGGUUUAGAACGUCGUGAGACAGUUCGGUCCCUAUCUGCCGUGGGCGCUGGAGAACUGAGGGGGGCUGCUCCUAGUACGAGAGGACCGGAGUGGACGCAUCACUGGUGUUCGGGUUGUCAUGCCAAUGGCACUGCCCGGUAGCUAAAUGCGGAAGAGAUAAGUGCUGAAAGCAUCUAAGCACGAAACUUGCCCCGAGAUGAGUUCUCCCUGAGACUUAGAGUCUCCUGAAGGAACGUUGAAGACGACGACGUUGAUAGGCCGGGUGUGUAAGCGCAGCGAUGCGUUGAGCUAACCGGUACUAAUGAACCGUGAGGCUUAACCUUACAACGCCGAAG